AUUGAACGCUGGCGGCAGGCCUAACACAUGCAAGUCGAACGAGUGGCGGACGAGUGAGUAAUGUCUGGGAAACUGCCCGAUGGAGGGGGAUAACUACUGGAAACGGUAGCUAAUACCGCAUACCAUCGGAUGUGCCCAGAUGGGAUUAGCUUGUGGGUGGGGUAACGGCGCACCUGGGCGACGAUCCCGAGCUGGUCUGAGAGGAUGACCAGCGACACUGGAACUGAGACACGGUCCAGACUGCUACGGGAGGCAGGAGUGGGGAAUAUUGCACAAUGGGCGCAAGCCUGAUGCAGCCAUGCCGCGUGUAUGAAGAAGGCCUUCGGGUUGUAAAGGACGUUCAGCGAGGAGGCGUUACGCGCAGAAGAAGCACCGGCUAACUCCGUGCCAGCAGCCGCGGUAAUUC
rnacentral:rRNA from 1 species